UGUGGCUCUCAUGGCAGCUGGUCUGACGGAACUGGCAGCAGAGUUGGACAGUAGUGAGGAAGUUGAGGAGGAACCUGGGCCGGGUCUGGAGGCUGAGGA